UAGGGAAUUUUCGUCAAUGGGGGGAACCCUGAACGAGCAAUGCCGCGUGUGUGAAGAAGGUCUUCGGAUCGUAAAGCACUGUUGUAAGUGAAGAAUGCCAUAUAGAGGAAAUGCUAUGUGGGUGACGGUAGCUUACCAGAAAGCCACGGCUAACUACGUGCCAGCAGCCGCGGUAAUACGUAGGUGGCAAAGCGUUAUCCGGAAUCAUUGGGCGUAAAGGGUGCGUAGGUGGCACGAUAAGUCUGAAGUAAAAGGCAAACAGCUCAACUGUUGUAUGCUUUGGAAACUGUCGAGCUAGAGUGCAGAAGAGGGCGAUGGAAUUCCAUGUGUAGCGGUAAAAAUGCGUAGAUAUAUGGAGGAACACCAGUGGCGAAGGCGGUCGCCUGGUCUGUAACUGACACUGAUGCACAAAAGCGUGGGGAGCAAAUAGGAUUAGAUACC
rnacentral:rRNA from 1 species